UACGUAGGGUCCGAGCGUUGUCCGGAAUUAUUGGGCGUAAAGAGCUCGUAGGCGGCCUGUCGCGUCGGAUGUGAAAGCCCGGGGCUUAACCCUGAGCCUGCUUCCGAUACGGGCAGACUAGAGGUAUGCAGGGGAGAACGGAAUUCCUGGUGUAGCGGUGGAAUGCGCAGAUAUCAGGAGGAACACCGGUGGCGAAGGCGGUUCUCUGGGCAUUACCUGACGCUGAGGAGCGAAAGUGUGGGGAGCGAACAGG
rnacentral:rRNA from 1 species